rnacentral:rRNA from 1 species
AACGAACGCUGGCGGCAUGCCUAACACAUGCAAGUCGAACGAGACCUUCGGGUCUAGUGGCGCACGGGUGCGUAACGCGUGGGAACCUGCCCUUAGGUUCGGAAUAACUCCCCGAAAGGGGUGCUAAUACCGGAUAAUGUCUUCGGACCAAAGAUUUAUCGCCUUUGGAUGGGCCCGCGUUGGAUUAGCUAGUUGGUAGGGUAAAAGCCUACCAAGGCGACGAUCCAUAGCUGGUCUGAGAGGAUGAUCAGCCACACUGGGACUGAGACACGGCCCAGACUCCUACGGGAGGCAGCAGUGGGGAAUAUUGGACAAUGGGCGAAAGCCGGAUCCAGCAAUGCCGCGUGAGUGAUGAAGGCCUUAGGGUUGUAAAGCUCUUUUACCCGGGAUGAUAAUGACAGUACCGGGAGAAUAAGCUCCGGCUAACUCCGU